ACCUUCAUUAUAGAACACAACAUGGUUAUAAAACAUUUCUUUAAAAGUAACAGAGUAAUAGCAAAAACAUAAAAUAAUUGAGAAAAUCAAUAAUACAAAAUUAAGUUGAGUUAUUAUAGAUGUCCAUAAGUUACCAUGAAUCUUCUAUUCUCACAUUUCAUCAAUCACUCAAACAUAGAUUUUCUGUACAACUCAUACUAUUACUAAUAUCAUCUUGAUAGCAAUAACAAACCAAGAACCAUUGCCCACACCAAAUUAUUAAUGUCCAGGAUCAAUCAUGAGAUGUUGUCUAACUUCCCAGAACUUAUGAAUUACAUUUAAUGAACCGUCUAAUCUAUUAUAUAUUAAACUCAACUGUAAUACAGAGUAACCCACCCUUCAAACACUAGUAACUUACUAAAGUAUAAAAAAAUUUAAGUUAAAUUUUAUGAACCAUAUCAUAUAACUAUCGAUCAAACUUAGGUAUAUCAACUAUACAGAUUAGUACCAUACUACAAGAUUAGUACCAUAGCAUUUUUCUGUAAAUUCAAAUUCCAAAAAAUAUAACUAAAACAUCAUUUAUCAUUCAAACACUACCAGAUACAAUCUAAAUUCUACAUCUAGCAAGUAAUUUAGGUAUAUCAACUAUACAGAUUAGUACCAUACUACAAGAUUAGUACCAUAGCAUUUUUCUGUAAAUUCAAAUUCCAAAAAAUAUAACUAAAACAUCAUUUAUCAUUCAAACAUCUACCAGAUAUUAAUUUUCAUUCCUACAUCUAGCAAGUAGCAACAAAAAAGGCCAAAAUAAAAACCUAAUUAAAUGUAAGAUUAUACAAAUGAAACAUAAACAUAUCUAUUUCUUAGAACUGAGAAAAUCAAUGAAAAAACAUAACAGCAAGCAUAUAGUACCAAAUUUAGUAUCAAACAACAAAAGGGUUUGAGAUUAGAAAUAACCGCAACCAAAAAUGGAAGAAGUCACGUGAUAAAAAUGAUCGCGAAAAGAAAAAAA
rnacentral:lncRNA from 1 species